rnacentral:piRNA from 1 species
UGAAGGAUGAUGCUUAUUAUUAGGAC